GAAAUGCGAUAAUUAAUGUGAAUUGCAGAAUUCAGUGAAUCAUCGAGUCUUUGAACGCACAUUGCGCCCCCUGGUAUUCCGGGGGGCAUGCCUGUCCGAGCGUCAUUGCUGCCCUCAAGCACGGCUUGUGUGUUGGGCUUCCGUCCCUGGCAACGGGGACGGGCCCAAAAGGCAGUGGCGGCACCAUGUCUGGUCCUCGAGCGUAUGGGGCUUUGUCACCCGCUCCCGUAGGUCCAGCUGGCAGCUAGCCUCGCAACCAAUCUUUUUAACCAGGUUGACCUCGGAUCAGGUAGGGAUACCCGCUGAACUUACGC
rnacentral:misc_RNA from 1 species